AGUGAACGCUGGCGGUAGGCCUAACACAUGCAAGUCGAACGGCAGCACAGUAAGAGCUUGCUCUUACGGGUGGCGAGUGGCGGACGGGUGAGGAAUACAUCGGAAUCUACUUUUUCGUGGGGGCUAACGUAGGGAAACUUACGCUAAUACCGCAUACGACCUACGGGUGAAAGCAGGGGAUCUUCGGACCUUGCGCGAUUGAAUGAGCCGAUGUCGGAUUAGCUAGUUGGCGGGGUAAAGGCCCACCAAGGCGACGAUCCGUAGCUGGUCUGAGAGGAUGAUCAGCCACACUGGAACUGAGACACGGUCCAGACUCCUACGGGAGGCAGCAGUGGGGAAUAUUGGACAAGGGGCGCAAGCCUGAUCCAGCCAUACCGCGUGGGUGAAGAAGGCCUUCGGGUUGUAAAGCCCUUUUGUUGGGAAAGAAAAGCAGCAGGUUAAUACCCCGCUGUUCUGACGGUACCCAAAGAAUAAGCACCGGCUAACUUCGUG
rnacentral:rRNA from 1 species